GGUGAGGCCGGGCAGUGGUGAUCCACGUCUUUAAUGCCGGCUCCUGGUGGCAUUUGCUUGCUGGAUCUGCCCCUGCUGAUGGAGGUUAAUAAAGCAGCGAUGUUCCUCGGAGAGGAGAGAAAGCGAUGACGACUCUCAGACCCCCUUCUCUCCGAGGACCAGCCAUCUCGGGGCACCCAAAGGACACAGACUGACUUCUUACAGCUUCCGUUCAGUCUUUGCUGCGUGGAAACCACACAAGGAGGGCUGUAGCAGUGGCCAGGAAGAAAAGUGCCCCCGCUGGAGGUUGUUUUCGUGAGACUGUUCUUUGGAGCAUUGUUCUAAAAAUGGGAAAUUACAUCUUACCAUGCCAAAGGAAACAAACACCUGCAGUUAGAGGGACACCUUCUCUGAGGUGGCCCUUUUGGAGCAAGCACAGCUGUAGCUACAGCCACUUCUGGAUGGAGGCUAUGGCAGAAGUUGACGGGCGCUUUCCUUGUUUGCAAGGGAUGGGAAUGUGGGCUUAUUUUUGUAACUAGGGUGGGCUUUGGCAGCUAUGGGUGCAGGGACUCUCUACUUAUCCACCCAAUAAACGUGUGUCAAGCAUC